CGGUAAUACGGAGGAUCCAAGCGUUAUCCGGAAUCAUUGGGUUUAAAGGGUCCGUAGGCGGUUUAGUAAGUCAGUGGUGAAAGCCCAUCGCUCAACGGUGGAACGGCCAUUGAUACUGCUAAACUUGAAUUAUUAGGAAGUAACUAGAAUAUGUAGUGUAGCGGUGAAAUGCUUAGAGAUUACAUGGAAUACCAAUUGCGAAGGCAGGUUACUACUAAUGGAUUGACGCUGAUGGACGAAAGCGUGGGUAGCGAACAGGAUUAGAUACCCUGGUAGUCCACGCCGUAAACGAUGGAUACUAGCUGUUGGGCGCAAGUUCAGUGGCUAAGCGAAAGUGAUAAGUAUCCCACCUGGGGAGUACGUUCGCAAGAAUGAA
rnacentral:rRNA from 1 species